CUGUUCGAAUGAAUGGCCGACCACUACCAUUUCAGUGGUGGCGUAUGGCGACGCGUGCACCAACGGGAGAAGAGAGACGAGGAAAGCGAGAGAUGAGAGAGAGAAAUCAGCGACGCCAUUCGUGGCGGCGGCGGCAGCGGGGUCUCGACUGUCCGACGACGCAUCGGUUGGGUUCCGACGGUUUGGGUCUCGCAACACAAUCGGUUCAGUUGAUUCCAGGUCGGGUUUCUAUUUCAAGUUCAAGUUUUUGCUUCGGUUUAUUUCGGUUCGAUGGUGUCGAUGAUGACAAUGAUGAUGGUUUUAUGCUAAUACCGCGCGUUGUCUGAAGUCAAGUCGCACCUUCGCUGGAGAAAUCGGAAUCUCAUCGGAGCCACGAACACACCGGACCUUACGUCGGAACUAGAAGACGUCGUCACGCGCAUAUUGGAACUCGUGUUCGUGAUCGGAUAACCGCUCUCGUUCAUUCUCUUGGACUUUACUCAGUUUCUUACUCGUGCGUUACUUACAAGAAAUCGCAAUGCAACCAAGGUGAGCAUACUCGAUCCCUUUUUACGCUUAUUAUAUUUGGGAUGCAAUACAUGUACCUUGAAUCAGUUACACAAACAUGCUAGUUUUCUUAUACAAAAUAAUCUCUAUAUUUGCUCAUAUGUGUAUUACUUGAAUUCAUACGUGUUAUACUUACAAUCAUACGUGUUAAAAUUCAUAAGUUUGUACUUAAUCACUGCCAUGGAAAAAAAAUUGGU